rnacentral:rRNA from 1 species
AAUCCAUAGGUUAAUGAGGCGAACCGGGGGAACUGAAACAUCUAAGUACCCCGAGGAAAAGAAAUCAACCGAGAUUCCCCCAGUAGCGGCGAGCGAACGGGGAGGAGCCCAGAGCCUGAAUCAGCAUGUGUGUUAGUGGAAGCGUCUGGAAAGGCGCGCGAUACAGGGUGACAGCCCCGUACACAAAAGCGCAUGUGCUGUGAGCUCGAUGAGUAGGGCGGGACACGUGGUAUCCUGUCUGAAUAUGGGGGGACCAUCCUCCAAGGCUAAAUACUCCUGACUGACCGAUAGUGAACCAGUACCGUGAGGGAAAGGCGAAAAGAACCCCGGCGAGGGGAGUGAAAAAGAACCUGAAACCGUGUACGUACAAGCAGUGGGAGCACCCUUUGGGUGUGACUGCGUACCUUUUGUAUAAUGGGUCAGCGACUUAUAUUCUGUAGCAAGGUUAACCGAAUAGGGGAGCCGGAGGGAAACCGAGUCUUAAUUGGGCGUUAAGUUGCAGGGUAUAGACCCGAAACCCGGUGAUCUAGCCAUGGGCAGGUUGAAGGUUGGGUAACACUAACUGGAGGACCGAACCGACUAAUGUUGAAAAAUUAGCGGAUGACCUGUGGCUGGGGGUGAAAGGCCAAUCAAACCGGGAGAUAGCUGGUUCUCCCCGAAAGCUAUUUAGGUAGCGCCUCGUGAAUUCAUCUCCGGGGGUAGAGCACUGUUUCGGCUAGGGGGCCAUCCCGGCUUACCAACCCGAUGCAAACUGCGAAUACCGGAGAAUGUUAUCACGGGAGACACACGGCGGGUGCUAACGUCCGUCGUGAAGAGGGAAACAACCCAGACCGCCAGCUAAGGUCCCAAAGUCAUGGUUAAGUGGGAAACGAUGUGGGAAGGCCCAGACAGCCAGGAUGUUGGCUUAGAAGCAGCCAUCAUUUAAAGAAAGCGUAAUAGCUCACUGGUCGAGUCGGCCUGCGCGGAAGAUGUAACGGGGCUAAACCAUGCACCGAAGCUGCGGCAGCGACACUGUGUGUUGUUGGGUAGGGGAGCGUUCUGUAAGCCUGUGAAGGUGUGUCGUGAGGCAUGCUGGAGGUAUCAGAAGUGCGAAUGCUGACAUAAGUAACGAUAAAGCGGGUGAAAAGCCCGCUCGCCGGAAGACCAAGGGUUCCUGUCCAACGUUAAUCGGGGCAGGGUGAGUCGACCCCUAAGGCGAGGCCGAAAGGCGUAGUCGAUGGGAAACGGGUUAAUAUUCCCGUACUUGGUGUUACUGCGAAGGGGGGACGGAGAAGGCUAUGUUGGCCGGGCGACGGUUGUCCCGGUUUAAGCGUGUAGGUGUGUGUUCCAGGUAAAUCCGGUUCACUUUAACACUGAGGCGUGACGACGAGGCACUACGGUGCUGAAGCAACAAAUGCCCUGCUUCCAGGAAAAGCCUCUAAGCAUCAGGUAACAUCAAAUCGUACCCCAAACCGACACAGGUGGUCAGGUAGAGAAUACCAAGGCGCUUGAGAGAACUCGGGUGAAGGAACUAGGCAAAAUGGUGCCGUAACUUCGGGAGAAGGCACGCUGACACGUAGGUGAAGUGAUUUACUCAUGGAGCUGAAGUCAGUCGAAGAUACCAGCUGGCUGCAACUGUUUAUUAAAAACACAGCACUGUGCAAACACGAAAGUGGACGUAUACGGUGUGACGCCUGCCCGGUGCCGGAAGGUUAAUUGAUGGGGUCAGCGCAAGCGAAGCUCCUGAUCGAAGCCCCGGUAAACGGCGGCCGUAACUAUAACGGUCCUAAGGUAGCGAAAUUCCUUGUCGGGUAAGUUCCGACCUGCACGAAUGGCGUAAUGAUGGCCAGGCUGUCUCCACCCGAGACUCAGUGAAAUUGAACUCGCUGUGAAGAUGCAGUGUACCCGCGGCAAGACGGAAAGACCCCGUGAACCUUUACUAUAGCUUGACACUGAACAUUGAGCCUUGAUGUGUAGGAUAGGUGGGAGGCUUUGAAGUGUGGACGCCAGUCUGCAUGGAGCCGACCUUGAAAUACCACCCUUUAAUGUUUGAUGUUCUAACGUGGACCCGUUACCCGGGUUGCGGACAGUGUCUGGUGGGUAGUUUGACUGGGGCGGUCUCCUCCUAAAGAGUAACGGAGGAGCACGAAGGUUGGCUAAUCCUGGUCGGACAUCAGGAGGUUAGUGCAAUGGCAUAAGCCAGCUUGACUGCGAGCGUGACGGCGCGAGCAGGUGCGAAAGCAGGUCAUAGUGAUCCGGUGGUUCUGAAUGGAAGGGCCAUCGCUCAACGGAUAAAAGGUACUCCGGGGAUAACAGGCUGAUACCGCCCAAGAGUUCAUAUCGACGGCGGUGUUUGGCACCUCGAUGUCGGCUCAUCACAUCCUGGGGCUGAAGUAGGUCCCAAGGGUAUGGCUGUUCGCCAUUUAAAGUGGUACGCGAGCUGGGUUUAGAACGUCGUGAGACAGUUCGGUCCCUAUCUGCCGUGGGCGCUGGAGAACUGAGGGGGGCUGCUCCUAGUACGAGAGGACCGGAGUGGACGCAUCACUGGUGUUCGGGUUGUCAUGCCAAUGGCACUGCCCGGUAGCUAAAUGCGGAAGAGAUAAGUGCUGAAAGCAUCUAAGCACGAAACUUGCCCCGAGAUGAGUUCUCCCUGAGACUUAAAGUCUCCUGAAGGAACGUUGAAGACGACGACGUUGAUAGGCCGGGUGUGUAAGCGCAGCGAUGCGUUGA